GAUCAAGCGCGAGAAGGGCGUUUGGUGGAUGCCUUGGCAGUAAGAGGCGAUGAAGGACGUGAUACUCUGCGAUAAGCUUUGGGAAGUCGAGAAUAGACGCUAUACCCAAAGAUCUCCGAAUGGGGCAACCCAACUGAUACUUUGUUAUUGUUACACUUUGUGUAAUCAAUAAUGGGGUAAAACAGUUAUUAAUUACCUGAAUACAUAGGGUUUUUAAAGCAAACCUGGGGAACUGAAACAUCUAAGUACCCAGAGGAAAGGAAAUCAAUAGAUACUCCCGUAGUAGUGGCGAGCGAACCGGGACCAGCCGAGCAAUGAAUGUGACUAGAACCAGUUGGAAAGCUGGGCGAUAUGGGUGACAGCCCCGUAUAGGAAGCAUGAUUUGACGUAUUAAGUAGGGCGGAACACGUGAAAUUCUGUCUGAACAUGGGGGGACCACCCUCUAAGGCUAAGUACUCCUUACUGACCGAUAGCGAACCAGUACCGUGAGGGAAAGGUGAAAAGCACCCCGACGAGGGGAGUGAAACAGUUUCUGAAACCGGACGCCUACAAACAGUUGGAGCCUCUUUAUGGGGUGACAGCGUACCUUUUGUAUAAUGGGUCAACGACUUGGUCUUACUAGCAAGCUUAAGCCGAUAGGUGUAGGCGCAGCGAAAGCGAGUCUUAAUAGGGCGAAUGAGUUAGUAGGAUCAGACCCGAAACCGAGUGAUCUAGGCAUGAGCAGGUUGAAGGUAAGGUAACACUUACUGGAGGACCGAACCCACAUCUGUUGAAAAAGAUCGGGAUGACUUGUGCCUAGGGGUGAAAGGCCAAUCAAACUCGGAGAUAGCUGGUUCUCCGCGAAAUCUAUUUAGGUAGAGCGUCGCACGAAUACCUUGGGGGGUAGAGCACUGAAUGGGUAAUGGGGACUCACCGUCUUACUGAUCCUAAUCAAACUCCG
rnacentral:rRNA from 1 species